AGGGAUGUAGCUUAAUGGUGGAGUGCUUGCCUAGUACUCAAAAGCUCUGGGUUUAAUCCCCAGCACACUA
rnacentral:tRNA from 1 species